GACGAACGCUGGCGGCGUGCCUAAUACAUGCAAGUCGAACGCUGAAGGAGGAGCUUGCUCUUCUGGAUGAGUUGCGAACGGGUGAGUAACGCGUAGGUAACCUGCCUGGUAGCGGGGGAUAACUAUUGGAAACGAUAGCUAAUACCGCAUAAGAGUAGAUGUUGCAUGACAUUUACUUAAAAGGUGCAAUUGCAUCACUACCAGAUGGACCUGCGUUGUAUUAGCUAGUUGGUGGGGUAACGGCUUACCAAGGCGACGAUACAUAGCCGACCUGAGAGGGUGAUCGGCCACACUGGGACUGAGACACGGCCCAGACUCCUACGGGAGGCAGCAGUAGGGAAUCUUCGGCAAUGGACGGAAGGCUGACCGAGCAACGCCGCGUGAGUGAAGAAGGGUUUCGGAUCGUAAAGCUCGGUUGUAAGAGAAGAACGAGUGUGAGAGUGGAAAGUUCACACUGUGACGGUAUCUGACCAGAAAGGGACGGCUAACUACGUG
rnacentral:rRNA from 1 species